GGUCUUGCUGUCACUUAUAGAUGGAUCCGCGCUGCAUUAGCUAGUUGGUAAGGUAACGGCUUACCAAGGCAACGAUGCAUAGCCGACCUGAGAGGGUGAUCGGCCACACUGGAACUGAGACACGGUCCAGACUCCUACGGGAGGCAGCAGUAGGGAAUCUUCCGCAAUGGGCGAAAGCCUGACGGAGCAACGCCGCGUGAGUGAUGAAGGUCUUCGGAUCGUAAAACUCUGUUAUUAGGGAAGA
rnacentral:rRNA from 1 species